GGGAAACUGCCUGAUGGAGGGGGAUAACUACUGGAAACGGUAGCUAAUACCGCAUAACGUCGCAAGACCAAAGAGGGGGACCUUCGGGCCUCUUGCCAUCAGAUGUGCCCAGAUGGGAUUAGCUAGUAGGUGGGGUAACGGCUCACCUAGGCGACGAUCCCUAGCUGGUCUGAGAGGAUGACCAGCCACACUGGAACUGAGACACGGUCCAGACUCCUACGGGAGGCAGCAGUGGGGAAUAUUGCACAAUGGGCGCAAGCCUGAUGCAGCCAUGCCGCGUGUAUGAAGAAGGCCUUCGGGUUGUAAAGUACUUUCAGCGGGGAGGAAGGUGUUGAGGUUAAUAACCUCAGCAAUUGACGUUACCCGCAGAAGAAGCACCGGCUAACUCCGUGCCAGCAGCCGCGGUAAUACGGCGGGUGCAAGCGUUAAUCGGAAUUACUGGGCGUAAAGCGCACGCAGGCGGUCUGUCAAGUCGGAUGUGAAAUCCCCGGGCUCAACCUGGGAACUGCAUUCGAAACUGGCAGGCUAGAGUCUUGUAGAGGGGGGUAGAAUUCCAGGU
rnacentral:rRNA from 1 species